CUCUUCCCCGGCCUCUGCACCCGGCCGGAACUCGUGUCAUCAGGCCUGGUUUCCCGCCGGCCUGGAAAAGCAGACGGCCCUACAGAGACGUGGAGAACACGGUCGGGAAAAGCCGGGCUCGGGCGGAAGUCACUCUGAGGCGUCGGCAGGGGAGGCCAGUGAACGCCAGUCGGGAGUUGGAGCGACCGGGGCUUGUGAGGGCCCCACGGCCCAGCAGGUGGAAUUGGGCUAUUUACUGAAGCUUCUUUCCCUGGUAGGCCAGGGAAAAAUUUACAUUUUGAUUUUCUUUUAAUCAUGGCUUUGGUUCAUAAAUUGCUGAAUGGCACUUAUAUUCUCAGAAAAUGCCCGAAGCCAAGUGUUGCCUCUUGUCCAUUUUUGAGUACUCGCUUUGCAGAUUAUUGUUCCAGCAGUCUUGAGAAACCAGUGGCUGCUCCUGGCAAAGCCUCUUCUCAGAGGAAGACUGAAGGGAAUUUGGAAGGACAUCACCAGAGAGAAGUUGAUUUGGAUAUAACUUCUCCUGAGGACAAGCCUGAAGUUAGUUUUGAUAAAGCAAUUAAAGAAGAAAUAAAGGACCAUUUUAGGCGUUUGAAGGAUGAUAUUGUGAAUCAUUGGAUAGGGCCUGAAGGCCGCCCUCUGCAUGAGGUCUUGAUGGAACAAGCCAAGGUUGUCUGGCAGUUCCGCGGCAAAGAAGAUUUGGAUAAGUGGAUAGUGACUUCUGAUAAGACGAUUGGUGGCAGAAGUGAAGUGUUCCUGAAAAUGGGCAGGAGUAACCAAAGUGCACUGCUGUAUGGAACUCUGAGCUCUGAGGCACCCCAGGAUGGGGAGAGUGGCCGAAGUGGAUACUGUGCAAUGAUAUCCAAGAUUCCAACGGGCCCUUUUGAGAGGAAGAGGUUUUAUGAUUGGUCCCAGUUCAACACUCUGUAUCUUCGUGUCCGUGGGGAUGGUCGACCUUGGAUGGUGAAUAUCAGGGAGGACACGGAUAUAAUCCAGAGGAAGGAUCAGAUGUACAGUUACUUCAUGUUCACCCGUGGGGGGCCCUACUGGCAGGAAGUCAAGAUUCCUUUCUCCAAAUUUUUCUUCUCUAAUCGAGGAAGAAUCCGGGAUGCCCAGUACCAGCUUCUGCUUGACAAGAUCUCUUCUAUUGGAUUCACCCUGGCUGAUAAAGUGGAUGGUCCAUUCUUCCUAGAAAUAGAUUUUAUUGGAGUAUUUACUGAUCCAGCCCACACAGAAGAAUUUGCCUAUGAAAAUUCUCCAGAGCUUAAUCCAAGACUUUUUAAAUAGAGAUCAUGUAGUAUUUCUGUGUUACUAAACUAAGGGUAGUAGAAUCCACGAUGACAAAAAUAAAGUACUUCUUUAAUGGCAUCCAAACAAUGGCGGUUCUGGAGGCUGGGAAGUCCAGGAUACCUGGUGUCUGGUGAGUGCUUCUUGGCUUGUAGACAGCUGCCUUCUUACUGUAUCCUCACAUGGAGAGAACAAGUUCUAGUCUCUUUCUCUUCAUAUAAAUAGCACUAACCCCAUCAUGAGGGUGCCACCUGCCUGACCUAAUUACCUCCCAAAGGCCUCCAAGUAUACCUCAAAGUACCAAGUCACAUUUGGAAUUAGGAUUUCAGUAUAUGAAUUGGGCAGGGGGCGGGGGCAGGGAACGGACACAAGCAUGCAGUCCAUAACACCUGCAUAGCUGGUUCUCCAAAGAUGCAUGAUCCUUACCAGUUCUUACUUUAUAGACUAAUGUCCCCAAGGCUUCCCCAGUCGUUUUUAGUAUUAGAGAUUGCAUAUACCAAAAAUAAGACCCUGAUUAACACAGUUUAAACUGAUCAAUUCUUGUCAUCUUAGAGGAAGAAGUAGGAAACUAUAUGAUAUAGCCAGAGUACCCAACGAGAGCCAAGUUUAAAAUAAGAGAAUACACAAAGGCUGAUAGCUUUCCCAUCCAUCUUGGCCUAAAUACCUAUUUUGUAUGUUUUCAUGUAAUUAUCUGUUUUUCAGCUUUAUUGAGGUAUAAUUUACAUAACAUAAAGUUCAUCUGUUUUAAGUAUACAAUUCAAUGAUUUUUUAGUUUAUUUACAGAAUUGUGCAGUCUUUUUUUUUUUUUGGCCGUGUCGCAUGGCUUGCUGGUUCUUAGUUCCCUGACCGGGGAUUGAACCCAGGACCACGGCAGUGAAAGCGCCAAAUGUUAACCACUGGACUGCCAGGGAAUGCCCAGAAUUCUGCAGUCUGUCUUUACAUGAACUAAUUGUAGGAAAUUUCCGUCAGCCUAGAAAGAAACCUCAGUGCCUCUUUGCAGUUACUCUUCAUCCCCACUCUCAGCCCCACAAUUACGAAUCUACUUUUGCUAUAGGUUUAUCUUCUCUGGAUAUUUCAUAUAAAUAGAAUCAUAUAUGAUCUUUUGUGUCUUGCUUUUCACUUAGCAUAAUGUUUUUGAGGUUCAUCCAUGGUGUAGCGUGUUUAUCAGUAUUUCAUUUUUUUAGUGCAUAUUUUUUAAAUCCAUCCAUUGAUGGGACAGCUGGAUUUUUCUCUACUUUUUGGCUACUGUGAAUAAUACUGCUGUAAAUAUUUGCAGACACAAGUUUUGGUGUGGACAUAUGUUUUCAUUUCUUAGGAGAAUUGCUGGGUCAUAUGGUGGACGUACAUUUAAAUUUUUUAAAGAAACUACUUCCAAAGUCGUUAUAUCGUUUCACCUUCCCAGUAGCAGUGUAUUUGACACAGAUUUCCUGAUUGAUCUGAUCUCUGCCUCUUGAUAGCAAAAUCUGAGUUUAUUAAGCACCCAGGAGUAUGCCAUGUUCUGUGGGCCCAUAUACGUAUAACAAUAAGUAUAACAGAAUCUGACAGGUGCUGUGAAAAUACAAAAGGACAUAGUCAUUUCUUCUAGGAGUGGGGAGUGGACGGUCAAGAAAGGAUACACAAAGAGUACAAGUCAACUCUUGUUAGUCUUGGCUGGUCAACUAAAUUUUAGAAACCAAUUAUAUUUACAAAGAAUGAAUCUACCCCCCAUGAGAAAAAAUUUUAUUUAUGAAAAUUUUAAGCAGUACAAAACUCGGAAGCUCCAUUCGGGUGCAACAGACAUGAAUAUGAUACUAAGCAACUCUAGUCUUUUCCAUAAAUUGAGUAAGAUGUAUAAGUUUGACAGAGCAUAUAGUAAUCCUUAAAGCAACAAUCCUCAAAUUUCAAUAUGACCCUGUAUAUUUCUAAAUAAGCCAGGCUAGAAUGAGCUAGAGUUUUGUUUUUAAGAAUAUAUUGGGGGAAAAAAAAAAAAAGAGAUGUAACUGACAAUUACAUGAAGUGAUCUGAAAGAGGUACAUAGAAGCUUAAAUGAAACAUUUCACAUAGAUAAAAUAUUGACGCCUUAUAAACCCAUAUGGCCCACAGUUUCGGUAAGACUACUAGGUUCUCUAGAGGAUGAAGAGGUGGCCUUUCACAGCUUACCCUAUUCAUAACUUGUUAUUGUUCAAUUUCUACUAAAGUCUGUAGUAUAAUUAGCUACCAUCAGGUAAGUGCUUUUGCCUAGAAGAGGACUGAAGUUCUGUUAUUAGAGCCAGCAGAGGGAACUUGACCUUAAAAAUCUAGGUCAAGAAUCUACAGGAUGGGUCUUUUUAGAAACCUGAGUUAGUUGUACAGGGGCUUAGGUAAAAACUAUUUCAAAAGAAUUUGAGAGCUUUAAAGGUAGUAAUGUCUUUUCAGGGGUAAAACGUGAAGAAGCCACAGACACUACAUAUAUACGAACAAAGUUAAGAGCAGAAAAAGGUCUUUUGGCUAAAGUGAGAGGACAGUACAGAAAUAUUUACAAAAGAGGGUUCAGAGAAAAGGAAUAUUUACGAGAUAUUAAAUUAUGAAUGUUCAGCCAUAAUGAGGCCCCUUCGAACUCCCAGAACCUUUGCUUUCUUCUCCUUUCGUUCUUGCUCAUGUUUCUUCCGUUGCUCCUCCCUAAGGAGGGAUAGGUAUACGUUAGGCUCUAGUGAAGCUCCAAACAGACCACUUCAAAGCACCUAUUGUUAGACUAAUGUCCAAACUUAAAAUGACAUCCAGCACACUUGUGUAAAGCACACUCUUACAGGACAUUGUGCUCUGUCCAGUGGUCUCUGUGAUGGAAGCCACACCUGUAAGUCACUGUUGUGUUAAAAGGCUAGAACUUGGGGGGGGGGGUUGUUGUUUUUAAUGUUAAGGCAGCAUUCUAAAAUCAAGCAUGGAAUUGGAAGCAGAAGACACCUUGGAGAUCGAAUCCAACCCCUGUAGUUUUUUUUAGUUUGUUUUAAAUGAGAAACCUCUACCUGUGGAAGUCAAAGGUCGACCUCAAAAUCACACUGUCUAAUAAAAGUGCUAAAAUUGGAAUCAGGAUCUCUGACUUAAACCACUAUGAUUUUGGGGAGAAGGAAUUAAGAGGAAAAAAAGGCCCAGAAUCAUGAUAAUGAUUUUAAUAGCAAAUAGUAAGGUCUUGGUGGUAGCUGGCAAGUCAAAUGGUAGUUAACCCGGUAUCAGGAGGGUGUCACACAGGGAAUCGGCCAAACCAGGACCAGCUGCAGCCCAGGUCAGACUCUGGUGUUAACUUGGUUUCCACACAGAAAGAAGCCUCUAAGGAUCAUCCUGGGGUUUCCCCCUGUGUAGAGCCCUGAAGCCUAGAAAGCCUGGUUUCCCUGGGAGUGUGAAAUUUAUGUGCAUCCUUAGGUGCCCUGGGCACCUGGAUUGGUAUCUGGAGGGACAUCCAGGUGCAUUGUUUGGGCAGAUAGGUCAUGUAAGAGCAGUGCUGUGAACCAGGUCCUCUUCUGAAUCACCUGCAGAGCUUUGGAAACAAUGCAGAUACAUCGGUCCCAUCUCAAACCUACUGAAUUAGAACCCACUGUGGUAUUGCCUAGGCACAUGUACUUUUAUUAAGUUCUGUAUAUGAUUCCACUUCUACCCUCUUCUUAAACACCACUAUUACUGUGACUCUAUCCCUCAGAGACUCUGCUUUUAUAUACAGUCUUUCAAAAUUAAAAGAGUUAGAACUGGAUAAUUAUGUACUUACCUGGUCUGGCGAUGAGGCUGUUUAUAACUUUUCUUGUGUAAGCUUACUCUGUUGACAUGUUCAUUCAGAGAACUGUUUUCUUUAGAUUGUCCCCAUGGUUUCAGUUUUCCUAGUUUAGGACAGAGACAGAGACAGAUUUAAGAAGAUUCUUGGGACUUCCCUGGUGGCGCAGUGGUUAAGAAUCCGCCUGCCAAUGCAGGGAACAUGGGUCGAGCCCUGGCCUGGGAAGAUCCCACAUGCCGCGGAGCAACUAAGCCUGUGUGCCACAACUACUGAGCCUGCGCUCUAGAGCCCGCGAGCCACAACUACUGAGCCCGUGUUCCACAACUACUGAAGCCUGCACUCCUAGAGCCCAUUCUCCGCAACAAGAGAAGCCACCGCAACGAGAAGCCAAUGCAUCGCAACAAAGAGUAGCCCCCGCUCACCGCAACUAGAGAAAGCCCGUGCGCAGCAGUGAAGACCCAAUAUAGCCAUAAAUAAAUAAAUGAAAAGAUUCCUGUAUUUAUAUUCCUAAUUUUCUCUUCAUCUGUGGCUACCUGCUUGCUGUCAACAUUCAUACUUUGGUUUUUUUGUUGUUUUUCUUUUUGCAGUAUGCGGGCCUCUCACUGUUGUGGCCUCUCCUGUUGCGGAGCACAGGCUCCGGACGCGCAGGCUCAGUGGCUGUGGCUCACGGGCCCAGCCGCUCCGUGGCACGUGGGAUCUUCCCAGACUGGGGCACGAACCCGUGUCCCCUGCAUCGGCAGGCAGACUCUCAACCACUGCGCCACCAGGGAAGCCCCAUACUUUGUUUUUAAAGAAAUCUGCCAGUAUAAUUCUAUUAAUUUCAAUUUAAUAUUCCACAGAUAGACAUUACGUUUUUUUCCUCUAAAAAUAAGUGUCUUCUACUUUUUAAUCCUUGAAAAGCCAGAAAAAAAUCUUAAAAAAACAAAAAAAACUUUAAUACUGAAUCCCAUGACACAGCACAUUAAAAGAAGCCAUAACAACUAAGUAGUUUAUCCCAACGUUGCAUAGGAAUGUUUAAUAUUAAAGUAGUAUUUCAUCUGUGCAGUUUAUCAUUAUUGUUACCUAUUAAAAUGUAUUUGGAAUGCAACAAGUGGGAAUAUUUUGUUGGCUUUAGAACUGUGACCAAAUUUCCAGAUGUUUAUAUAUUACUUUAUUUGUAUAGUUUGACCUACUUCUGAGUACCAAAGAUUACCAUUUGCAGUGUUUACCAUUUUAUAGAAAGGACUUUCACACCUGCUAUAUCAUUUGAUCCUUUCAGUAACCACUGAAGUAGUACUUAUUUAUUUUCCCUUCCAUAAAGGAAUUAAGUGACUUGUCUAGGAUAUAAAAUAACAAGCACAGAUGAAGCUCUCAACCAGGUUUUUUUUACCAUCAGUAGAAGUUAGUGGUGAUCAGUCAUUCCCAUAACAAAUACUUUUUGAGUACCUGGUAUGUGCCAGGGACUAUUCUAGGUGCUAGGGACAUAGCAGUGAACCAAGUGGUCAAAAAUCCUUGCUCUCAAAAAAAAAACAAAACAAACCUUGCUCUCUUGGGAUUACAUUUCCAGUGGUAGAGGUAGACAGUAGUCAAGAUAACACCAGGUGGUGCUAUGUGCUAUGGAGAAAUGUAAAACAAGGUGAGGAAUAAA